AGUACGCUUACGAGUUCGUUUUUAAUUACACGCGUACAAGUUGGAAGACGAUGAUAUACACGGGUACUUAAAACUGCUAAACCUCGUAGCACCUGCCAUCCAGGAUAGAAGCCGAUUGAUUUUUUUUAUGUCGAAAUAAUGAUGAAGCCAUGUGUAAUUAAUCGUUCUGCUUUUCUUCCAAUUGCAACAUCAGACAAAAAUUUGCAGAUGUUGAACAUCUGCACAUUUUUGUUGAAUCUUGCACAAUGUUUCCUGCUUGAAAUUUUGAAGACGAUGAUUGUGAGAUGUAUAGGGUCAUGUUUGUACGGAAUAUUUGUUACGUUUGUAACAAUUCGUGUUAGAUAUUUAAAGCCAUGUGUACGAAUUAAACCUUUUUGAAAUUCCAGUCGCGUCUAUCAUGCAUUUUCUCGUCCUUCUACAUUGAUUUUCAUUGUGAAAACAAUCCUAGGGCCAUGUGUACAAAACUUCCAUCGCCAUUUUGCAGGGAUUUCUGCCAAACCCAAUUUUUCUUGCGUUUAAGGUAUUUAUAUGACAGAUUAUUUGAUUAUUUACAGGAUUCCAUCAGGGCCAUGUGAACAUGCCUUACUUUGGUUUUUAUGUAAAAACAUCUUUCUAAUUUAUUAUGCAAACUCAUUUUAGGGCCAUGUGAUUAUACAUUCCUCCGUUGUGCAUACAUUUUUCCAAUAGCCAAACGUGUUAUUUUCUUCAAAACUGCUUGUGAGUUCAUAUCAUCCCGUCUUGAGUGCGAAUCAUUGUGUCAAAUACUCUAGGGACAUGUUAAGUGUCAAUAGCUAGUUUCAAGCUUAAAACGGCUCUAAUGUUUGAUCUAGGUUUCUCGUAAUAUGUUCUAACUUCACCGUAGUUCAUGGAGUGAAACACUCUAUAGGGCCAUAAAAAAAAAUCUAUUUUAUAAGUGUCGAUAUGUGUUUACAGGCAGAAAAUAAGACAAUGGAUAUCGACCUGCGGGCCGGGUAUGGAUUGAAAUGUAACAUUCGUAUAAAAUUUUUAUGAGUUCGUGUUGAGUUCCAGUGCGAACAAAGUUCGUAUUUUGGCUGAAGUGGGAACACAUUUAUAUACGAGUACGAUAAUGAGUUCGUUUUGAGUUUGAGUGCAAAAAAAAUUGUACAAGUUCGAAGACAUGAUGUACACGGGUACUUAAAACUGCUAAACCUCGUAGCACCUGCCAUCCAGGAUAGAAGCCGAAGGAUUUUUUUAUGUCGAAAUAAUAGUGGGGCCAUGUGUAGUAAAUCGUUGUGCUUCUCUUCCAAUUUGCAACAUCAGACAAAAUUGUGGAGAUGUUGAACAUUUUUGUUGAAUCUUGCACAAUGUCUCCUGCUUGACAUUUUAAAGACAAUGAUUGAGAGAUGUAUAGGGUCAUGUUUGUAUGGAAUAUUUUAUUACGUUUGUAACAAUUCGUGUUAGAUAGGCCCCUAUUUAAAGCCAUGUGUACGAAUCAAACUCUUUGAAAAUCCAGGUGCGUCUAUCGUGCCUUUUCCCGUCCUGCUACAUUGAUUCUCAUUGUGAAAAAAAAUCCUAGGGCCAUGUGUACAAAACUUUCAUCGCCAUUUUGUCGGGAUUUCUGCCAAACCAAAUUUUUCUUGCGUUUUUCUGUAUUUAUAUGACAGAUUAUUUAUAGGAUUCCAUGGCCAUGUGAACAUGUCUUACUUUGUUUUUAUGUUAAACAAAUCUUUCUAAUUGAUUAUGCAAAAUUAUUUUAGGGUCAUGCGGUGCAUAGUGGAGAUCUUAUAUACCUCCGUGCUGUAUUUCGCCAAUAAACGGACGUGUAGGCCUAUUUUCUUAAAAAAAAAAAACUGUUGUGCAUUCCCAUCUUGAGCGCAAAUCAUUGCGUCAAAUACUCUAGGGACAUUGUGUUAAGUAUCAUUAGCUAUUUUGAAGCUUAAAAAACUCUAAUGCAGGAUCUAAGUUUUCUUGUCUCUUUGUAUUCCUCACCCGUUGUAACUUCACCGUGGUUCAUGCAGUGACUUCUCUAUAGGGCCAUGUUUAAAGAUCGACUAUAUUUGUCUGUGUGACCAAAACAAUACAUGCUUGGAGCUCUAUUGUUAAAAAGAUCCUCUGAGACGUAAAGGGCCAAGUGCAGAUCUUACAGAUUCUUUGAAACAAGUAACGGUCGUGAAACGUGCAGAAUGAGGGAUUCAACGAUUCCACGAUUAUUUUGCAUCGGACAUGAAAUAGUCUAUGAUCUUUUUUUCGAAAUGUGUCUUAUGGACAAAUUAAACAUUGUUGUUGCGAUUUGUUCUUCCGAUUCGCAAAGAUCGAUAAUUGCCUUUUGUGUUAGGGCCAUUGUGUCAAUUUUGGUUAUUGUAAAUCAGGUGUAAUGACACCUGUGAGGUCGGAUGCACCUUGUAAUCGCUCUGUAAAGUGUAUGGCCUGAAUUCAGGGUGGUGAAACAAUGUUCAUCAAUUGAAUGUUUUAACAACCACAUCACCAGUGGAGGUUUUAAUGGAUGGUACUUUUCAAUUCUGAUAAGUCCGAUUACGACUGGUCGGCAAUGCGAGCGUUGUUUCCCUUUGAACCAAUGCGCGUUGCUUUGUUCAAGGUCCAUCUUGGAAUUAUCAUCUUCGCGACCAGUAGGCCAAACUGUAUUUAGAUUAAACUAAGCUUUCUUUCCUUUACAGCGGUCCAUUACAGUGGUCAGGUAAGGGCCACUAAUUGCAUCAUCUUCACUGUCUGUAUGUAUACUUUACACCCAGUUAGGGCCAGAGAUCUAAGUAGCGUAGACCUAAACUAAUUAAGUUACCCCUUUUCUAUGAUUGUAUCUUUGUACAUUUUUUUACCCAAAUCAACCCACAAUCAGGUUAUUUCUAACCAAUGUUAAGUAAAAUUACAUUGCCAAACAGUGUUUUACCCAACAAUGUUUUUUUUUUCUUUUACAGUGAUAGCGGUCGGGUAAGGACCAUUAACAUGCGUUUUCCUUCUCUUAACACCACAGCACCGGUCACAAAUUUGAUCAGGAAACCACUGUAUAUUGUAGUAACAGAACCUAGCUCCGCUAGGAAGACUUCUUUUAUUUUCAGCAACAUGCAAUUAGAUUAGGAGGACCAGUAAGCCAGCGUGCUCAUGUCAGGAGCUGAUGACACGGAGGAACCGGAAGCAGGGAGGAGGAACACCGGAUGACUGAUGGCCCUGCUUGCGAGGCAUCCCAUUAAUGAUUUUCCAGCAGAGAUGACGGUCUGCAAGAUAUCAUUCUGAAUCGUUUCCGAAUCCCAAGGAACCGGAAGCAGGGAGGCUGACCGUCGGAAGGACUGAAGACCCUGCUUGCAGAGCAAGUCUUCACCAAUUCUUGAGAUUCCUCUUGCUUCGUAUAUAUAAGCAGCAGAGAAGAACAUAGGGGCCUAACGGAGUGCAGUUGUUCACUAGGGCAGGAACACGAAUUUUAGCAAUAAACUACAAG
rnacentral:lncRNA from 1 species